rnacentral:rRNA from 1 species
GACAGAGGGUGCAAACGUUGUUCGGAAUUACUGGGACGGUAAAGGGCGCGUGAGGCCGGCGUGACAAGAUCACUUGUGAAAUCUCCGGGCUUAACUCGGAACGGUCAAGUGAUACUGUCGUGCUAGAGUACAGAAGGGGCAACUGGAAUUCUACGGUGUAGCGGUGAAAUGCGCAGAUAUCAGGAGGAACACCGAUGGCGAAGCAGCUCGCUGGGACGGUACUGACGCUGGAGGCGACGAAAGCCGUGGGGAGCAAACACGGA